rnacentral:siRNA from 1 species
UUCAACGCACUUGAACCCACAUC